ensembl:lncRNA PPP1R3B-DT PPP1R3B divergent transcript
GACGGCAUACGAGGCUGUGCUGUACUGGUUUGCAACAUCUGUCACUGGCUUACAUAGCUGUUAAUCUUUCAUUUCAUGUUCAGACUUAUCAGUAUUCAUUAAAGACCCUCCAUUUGUGCAAGACCUUCUGGGAAAGAGUGCCCUAUCUCGGUGUCUUAGAUUUAACAACAACGACAAAAAGGUUCCAUUUUAGACACUUUUUUUGAUCAGGCAGCAGGCAGUCUCUGGCUGUGGGAGGUGGGAACCAGUCAUAUAUGCAUAUGACCAAACAGCUUUUCUACUGGAGAAGUUUAGCAUUGGUAAGAGAAGGUGUUCCAAGUUGAUGUUUAAAUCCACCCAUUUCCAUUUUGCUUCCUUACCUACAAGAAAAUUUAGAAGUUGGUGCAAAUGGCAUUUCCAUGAGUACUUCUCAUGCAUCUUUGCAUAUUUCACCUGGGGGGAAGCACAGAGGCUGAGCCUGGGAGGCUGGAUCCGCGAGGGCGCGUCACCUCGCCUACUUGGGAGUCCAGGCACAUGCACAGCGUCUAAAGGUCUAAACAGAAAGAUGGGAUGUCCUGCCCCAGCAAAAAUCUAAUGAUUUUCUCUCUCUGUAGGAGAAAACGAAUACAGCAGGGAUGACUUCCACCAGCUCCACUUUGCAGCUCUGAGGUGUAUUAAAAAUGACCUGGAAGAAGUCAUGCCACGGGCCAGACCUUAACAUUCCUUUCGGCUUACCCCAGGAUUUCAGACGAAGCUUCACUUUCCUAACCAGUCACAAAUCAGAGAAUUUUUGAUUCCACCUAUGACCUGUGAGCUCCUGCUUCAAGAUAUUCCACCUUUUUUAGGCCAAACCAAUGUAUAACCUCCAAGUGUCGAUUUACACUUUCGACUGUAACUUCUGCUUUCCUGAGAUUUACCCCUGCCUUUAAAAACCCUUGCUUGUAAUCCCUCAGGGAGGCCGUGUAUUUAUUAAUCAUGAGCUGCCCAAUUCUCCUUGCUUGGUGCCCUGCAAAUAAACACCCUCUUUUCUCCCACUGCAAAACCUCAGUGUGGAUGUUUGGCUUUACUUCACCCCCAGGAAAGCAGACCCAGGUUUGACUCAGCAACAACAUCUGUUUCUAUUUUUCUCUGUAUAAAUAUUAAAAACCAUAAGUACAUGCUAUCUCCAAUUCCAAUAUAAACCCAUAGGGCUCAUUCUGGCCUUCCCA